GUUUCAAUAAAUUUGAAGCAUUUUGAAGUUUUUUUGUAUUUUUGCUGUUUCCAUGGUAACGGCAGCCAUUUUGGAAAUUCCAAACUCAAAAGUCAAGUCUACAUUAGCUGAGCAACAUUUGUUGUAAGUUUCAGUAAAUUUGAAGCAUUUUGAAGUUUUUUGUAUUUUUGGUGUUUCCAUGGUAACGGCGGCCAUUUUGAAUAUUCAAA
rnacentral:lncRNA from 1 species